UACGAGGGGGGCAAGCGUUGUUCGGAAUUAUUGGGCGUAAAGGGCGCGUAGGCGGUUUGACAAGUCUGAUGUGAAAUCUAUGGGCUCAACCCAUAGCCUGCAUUAGAAACUGUCGGGCUUGAGUAUGGGAGAGGGAAGUGGAAUUUCCGGUGUAGCGGUGAAAUGCGUAGAUAUCGGAAGGAACAUCAGUGGCGAAAGCGACUUCCUGGACCAAUACUGACGCUCAUGUGCGAAAGCGUGGGGAGCAAACGGG
rnacentral:rRNA from 1 species